CAGGUUAAUCUUGUUAGGUAGAAUCUUCAUUUACAUUGAAGACUGGAAUUGUGCGAAUCAAUUUAACUUGA
rnacentral:tRNA from 1 species